GGGGGGAGGGGUGUUGGGGGGAAGAGGAGGGCCUUGCAUACUAUAAUAAUUAAGUGAUGAUGAUAGCAGUUUACAGGUUCUAGGUACAAACUGCAAACUACAAUAUGCAACUAAUUAUAGUGAUACAAGCAGAGAGUAGAAAUGGCCACAGGCAAGCUCCAGUGGCCUAGGUGGACUUGAACUGGACUGGGGAGGCUCGUUCUAGUUCGAUCUGGGUUGAGGCAAUCCAACAGUUGAAACAUUUUUUCAAAUUUU
rnacentral:misc_RNA from 1 species